rnacentral:lncRNA from 1 species
AUCCUUGCAAGCACCUUCUCCCCAUUCUUCCUCCACAAUUGUGGGUGCUUGAUCCUACAAGAGGUAAAGGUGACAUAUGGAGCUGUUACUCAUCUCUUGUCUUUGGUUUUCAAAUGCUGCGAGUACAUUGGACAGGAAUUAUGGGCUGAGCCUAGAGGAAUUUAGAGCUUAGUUGUCUUUCUAUUAAUCCUCUGAGGGAAUGAUCUGAUAAGCCAUUUAUGUGGAGGUUCUUUUAUUAUUUCAUGAGACUAUCCAGACAUUUAUCUUGAACAAUAUUAUGCUAGAGCUUUUGUUGUUGUAUUAGUACCACCGCCUAAGUUCCUUCUUUUUUUUUUUUUUUUGUAGAAGCCGGAAGGCCUAUUACUUUAUAAACAAAUAGUUUACAGACUUUUCCCAGAGAGGGACAAGUAUCAAAGAAAAACCUGAGGC